rnacentral:rRNA from 1 species
GUUGUCGUCAGCUCGUGUCGUGAGAUGUUGGGUUAAGUCCCGCAACGAGCGCAACCCUUAAGCUUAGUUGCCAUCAUUAAGUUGGGCACUCUAGGUUGACUGCCGGUGACAAACCGGAGGAAGGUGGGGAUGACGUCAAAUCAUCAUGCCCCUUAUGAUUUGGGCUACACACGUGCUACAAUGGACAAUACAAAGGGCAGCUAAACCGCGAGGUCAUGCAAAUCCCAUAAAGUUGUUCUCAGUUCGGAUUGUAGUCUGCAACUCGACUACAUGAAGCUGGAAUCGCUAGUAAUCGUAGAUCAGCAUGCUACGGUGAAUACGUUCCCGGGUCUUGUACACACCGCCCGUCACACCACGAGAGUUUGUAACACCCGAAGCCGGUGGAGUAACCAUUUAUGGAGCUAGCCGUCGAAGGUGGGACAAAUGAUUGGGGUGAAGUCGUAACAAGGUAGCCGUAUCGGAAGGUGCGGCUGGAUCACCUC